UGCGUAGGCGGUUUGAUAAGUCAGAGGUGAAAGCCCACAGCUCAACUGUGGAAUUGCCUUUGAUACUGUUAGACUUGAAUCAGGUUGAGGUUGGCGGAAUGUGGCAGUAGCGGUGAAAUGCAUAGAUAUGCCAUAGAACACCAAUUGCGAAGGCAGCUGACUAGACCUGUAUUGACGCUGAGGCACGAAAGCGUGGGGAGCGAACAGGAUUAGAUACCCGAGUAGUCC
rnacentral:rRNA from 1 species